AUGAACGCUGGCGGCGUGCCUAAUACAUGCAAGUCGAGCGAACAGACGAGGAGCUUGCUCCUCUGACGUUAGCGGCGGACGGGUGAGUAACACGUGGAUAACCUACCUAUAAGACUGGGAUAACUUCGGGAAACCGGAGCUAAUACCGGAUAAUAUAUUGAACCGCAUGGUUCAAUAGUGAAAGACGGUUUUGCUGUCACUUAUAGAUGGAUCCGCGCCGCAUUAGCUAGUUGGUAAGGUAACGGCUUACCAAGGCAACGAUGCGUAGCCGACCUGAGAGGGUGAUCGGCCACACUGGAACUGAGACACGGUCCAGACUCCUACGGGAGGCAGCAGUAGGGAAUCUUCCGCAAUGGGUGAAAGCCUGACGGAGCAACGCCGCGUGAGUGAUGAAGGUCUUCGGAUCGUAAAACUCUGUUAUUAGGGAAGAACAAAUGUGUAAGUAACUAUGCACGUCUUGACGGUACCUAAUCAGAAAGCCACGGCUAACUACGUG
rnacentral:rRNA from 1 species